GAGCCCCUGGAGCCCGGGACGGAGCGUUCACAGCGCCCCCUGGCGCCUCGGAGGCCGGGGGGGGGGCGGGUUCUGGCUCAGACUGGUUCUCUGCAGCUGAUAGCCUGGCGGAGAGAGUAAGGGAGUUUGGGAGCUGCUCUCAGCAUCGCAGCCCCUGGCGCAGGCGCUCUCCGGAAGGUGCAGGAAGAACAUGGCGGGGCUCCCUGGGAGGCCACAGUCUCGGGGAAGGAGGAAGACAAACAAGAAAUAAGACAGUGUCCUCACAGUGUGCCACAUCCAGGGCUGGAAGACAUAGGGGGCUAUGGUACCUUGGAGGAAGGGCGGUUCACCUAGCCUCUGGGGUCAAAGACAGCCUCUCCCAGGAGGAUCCUCUCCUCCCAUGAAAAGACGACCUUCAAUCUGUCAAUGCUCUGAAAAUUCUCAAAGUGGUCCAAAAGUGGUUUUCCCUGCAGGGAUGGGACUGGUUGCUACGGGCAUGGGAGCCUCACCUUUGGGCCUGAUCUUCUGGAAAUUGGAGCCUACACUAGAAGCCUGCCCAGCAGACUCACAGGCGGCAGUGAUGUUUCUGCAAGAACUGUCUUCUUUGUUCUCAGGUGCCUGGACAAAAUGUUUGCAUUUCUUUCUUGUGCCAUAAGUGUUCCUGCUUCAGUCCCCAGGCACCUGCUGUGGGCCCCUCGGGUGCUAACUGGUGUCUUGCUGUUCUGGGAGCGCGGCAUUGUCAGGCCUCAGUAGGCCCUAGGAUAACACUUAACACUGCUGGCUGGUGGCCAUCAGCCUCCUAGAGAAAUCCCCUGUCACAGCAGAUGGUAUCUACGAGGUUUAAGGGGCAAGAGAGACCCGGAGACCCUGGAAGAGCUUCUCCUGUGCACUGGGACUGGCUAGUUGUGAGCUAGUCUUGGUGGUUGUCAUGAUGCAGAAGUUAGGGAGGAAAGCUCCAGAGCUGUCACUGAGGUCCCUGGGGCCUGAAAUGGAACGAUCAGAAUUCCCAAGGCUUCCACAACAGCCUGGAAGCCAUGGCUUAGAAAGAGAGAUGUCGGGGUUCCCACGGCUAGGACCGAGGUGGAGGUGACCGCGCAUGGACUUUCAGAGGAGGCUGGGCCUUUUGCUCACAGCCCUCAGCGCGGGGCUACUGCUGCUUUUCAGCUGGGUGACGCUUGCUCAGCCCAUCUCUCUUUCAGGUACAGCGCUCUCCUCUCCACUC